UAAAUUUUAAUUAAGUUUUGCUUACUUGAUCACAUAUUUAUGCAUGAGGUAUUCCAAACAAGGAGUGUGUUAUACGCAAAAGACAGUAAGAUACUAAAGGGUGAGUCACAUCUCAGAUAUCAAUGAGCGAUAAAAAAAAAAUCAUUACAAAAACGAAAAUUGGAAAAUUAAUAAAAGAUUAACAACAGUCUACAAAUAACAACACAAAAAUAAAUUAUUGAGCAACACGGAACCCCAUACAAAUAUGUGGAUGAUAUGUCAUGUCCUCGGUUUAAUCUUGCCUAUCCUGCUCCACAUGUGACACUUGUAGUCUAACUCCUAUUAAAUUCGUUGAUAAUUAAUAUCAGUUUACGUUAUACCGAAUUAGUAAUGGACAUCUCCAAAUUAUUAAACAAUCCGUCAUGCAAUAUAUGAAACAAUUAAAAAAUUUUCUAACUUGUGAAAUAGAAACACAUUUUUUUUUGACAAAAAUAUAGACAAUAUUGUGCACUG
rnacentral:lncRNA from 1 species